AAGUUUAUUUAGGAUCUGUUUGGCUUAGCAACCGGAGAAAUAAUUUUUGCAUAAUUAAUUUUAGUUUGAAAAAUUAAUUUUGGUUAUAAGUUGUAGAGCGUUGGUUGAGUUUAGAUACAAAGCAAUUUUUUGAAGUAAUUUUGUAAAACUGUUUUGGCAAAAUUUUUUUAUUAUUUGCAAAUAAUAAAUUUUUUUACUAAUUUUUAAAUUAUUUAAAUUUAAAUUUUGAAAGUUUAAAUUUAAAUCUAAACAAAAUUUUAAAUUUUAAUAUUCUAAUUUUAAAAAUAAAAAGUAAAACUUAAAAAUUAAAACAUUUCCACUUAAAAUAUAAAAUAUAAAAUAUAAAUUUUAAAUUUUAAAUUUCAAAUUUCAAUUUAAAAUCUCAAUUUAAAAUCUAAAUUUAAAUUUUAAAUUUUUAAAUUUGAAAGAAUUUAAACUUUGACAUGUCAACAUAUAAAACUUAAAAUAUAAAAUAUAAAGAGGCAAUUACUUAUAUACUUCUGAAAAGUUUCUGACUUUCUGAUUUAGCCCUCUUAGAAGUUUAAUAUUGAAAAUACUCUUUUUACAUUCCAACCAAUUAGCAAUAUACCCCUAGAGUUAAAUUCUAUUAAUGAACUGUUAGCAAUAGCUGUGAUCUCUAUAAAAUUACUAUUUUGCCCUUUCAAAUAUACCUUUCUACCAUCACCAACUUUUCUUAUUUGCCCUUAAGUUAGGGCUACAAAAAGUAUUUUGAUUUUUGGUCUUUUCAAAUAAUUCCUUCUACCAUCACCAACAUUUCUUAUUUGUCCUUAAAUUAAGGGCAAAAGAGGCAUUUUGAUUUUUUUUAACUCUGGAAGAUAACUAGUUUACGUUUAAUCUAAGUUAACUUAAGGGGUGGUAACUAUAGAAGUAUUUUGGAAUAACAGAUGAACAUAUAAGAGUUAUAUUGAAAAGAAAAAAAAAAG
rnacentral:lncRNA from 1 species